GGGGGCAACCCUGGCGGCGAGCGGCGAACGGGUGAGUAAUACAUCGGAACGUACCCAGGAGUGGGGGAUAACACAUCGAAAGAUGUGCUAAUACCGCAUACGCCCUGAGGGGGAAAGCGGGGGAUCGCAAGACCUCGCGCUGUUGGAGCGGCCGAUGUCGGAUUAGCUAGUUGGUAGGGUAAAGGCCUACCAAGGCGACGAUCCGUAGCUGGUCUGAGAGGAUGAUCAGCCACACUGGGACUGAGACACGGCCCAGACUCCUACGGGAGGCAGCAGUGGGGAAUUUUGGACAAUGGGGGCAACCCUGAUCCAGCCAUUCCGCGUGAGUGAAGAAGGCCUUCGGGUUGUAAAGCUCUUUCGGCAGGAACGAGACGGCGGGCUCUAACGUGGCCUGUCAAUGACGGUACCUGAAGAAGAAGCACCGGCUAACUACGUGCCAGCAGCCGCGGUAAUACGUAGGGUGCGAGCGUUAAUCGGAAUUACUGGGCGUAAAGCGUGCGCAGGCGGUUUUGUAAGACAGCUGUGAAAUCCCCGGGCUUAACCUGGGAACUGCGGUUGUGACUGCAAGACUAGGGUGCGGCAGAGGGGGGUGGAAUUCCACGUGUAGCAGUGAAAUGCGUAGAGAUGUGGAGGAACACCGAUGGCGAAGGCAGCCCCCUGGGUUGACACUGACGCUCAUGCACGAAAGCGUGGGUAGCAAACAGGAUUAGAUACCCUGGUAGUCCACGCCCUAAACGAUGCCAACUAGGUGUUGGGGAAGGAGACUUCCUUAGUACCGUAGCUAACGCGUGAAGUUGGCCGCCUGGGGAGUACGGUCGCAAGAUUAAAACUCAAAGGAAUUGACGGGGACCCGCACAAGCGGUGGAUGAAUGUGGAUUAAUUCGAUGC
rnacentral:rRNA from 1 species